CCCAGGUCAGGCGGGGCUACCCGCUGAAUUUAAGCAUAUCAAUAAGCCGGAGG
rnacentral:rRNA from 3 species